rnacentral:rRNA from 1 species
UACGUAGGGGGCAAGCGUUGUCCGGAUUCAUUGGGCGUAAAGAGCUCGUAGGCGGCUUGGCAAGUCGGGUGUGAAAACUUCAGGCUCAACCUGGAGCGGCCACUCGAUACUGCCAUGGCUUGAGUCCGGUAGGGGACCACGGAAUUCCUGGUGUAGCGGUGAAAUGCGCAGAUAUCAGGAAGAACACCCGUGGCGAAGGCGGUUCUCUGGGACGGUACUGACGCUGAGACGCGAAAGCGUGGGGAGCGAACAGG